UGCUUCAACCAUCGCGAACCCGUCCAUAUCGUUGCUUCGGCGGGCGGCCCCCUCACCGGGGCCGCAGGCCGGACCCGCCCCCCGGGGCGGGGCCGGGCGCCCGCCGGAGGUACCAAAACCUUCUGUAUCUCUAGUGGCAUCUCUGAGUAAAACACAAAUAAGUUAAAACUUUCAACAACGGAUCUCUUGGCUCUGGCAUCGAUGAAGAACGCAGCGAAAUGCGAUAAGUAAUGUGAAUUGCAGAAUUCAGUGAACCAUCGAAUCUUUGAACGCACAUUGCGCCCGCUAGUACUCUAGCGGGCAUGCCUGUCCGAGCGUCAUUUCAACCCUCAAGCCCUGCUUGGUGUUGGGGCCCUACGGCUGCCGUAGGCCCUGAAAAGAAGUGGCGGGCUCGCCGUGUAUCCGAGCGUAGUAGUAACAUAUCUCGCUCCGGGACCGCGGCGGGCUCCUGCCGUUAAAGACCCAUCUUUAACCAAGGUUGACCUCGGAUCAGGUAGGAAUACCCGCUGAACUUAA
rnacentral:rRNA from 1 species